GUACAGAGGGGCAAGCGUUGUUCGGAAUUACUGGGCGUAAAGGGCGCGUAGCGGCCGCCUAAGUCAGACGUGAAAUCCCUCGGCUCACCGGGGAACUGCGUCUGAUACUGGGUGGCUUGGAAUCCGGGAGAGGGAUGCGGAAUUCCAGGUGUAGCGGUGAAAUGCGUAGAUAUCUGGAGGAACACCGGUGGCGAAGGCGGCAUCCUGGACCCGGCAGUUG
rnacentral:rRNA from 1 species